AUUGAUUGUGUUUCUUGAAUUAUGAGGAGGCCUAAAUCAUGACUCACAUUAAAGUUCAGCUCUAAUGGGGAUUAAAUUGAAUAUUCUCUCUAUUUUAAUGCAGAAAAUCAGGGUUGUCUUGUUUGUGAUUCAUUAAAGGACUUUUAUUUCAGAGAAAUAUCAAAUGUUGUCACUAAAAUCAACAUGAAAGGGCCUUGAUAUUAUUUUUUAAAAACGAAUGAAUGAUGAAUAUGCAGUUAUGCAAAUCGCCACUCUUACUUAUUGAUCCAAGAAAAAAGAAAAAUCUAUCAGCAUCCACUCUGAUGGUUCGCCAUCUUGUUCCCAAGACGUCAAAGACCGUUUACUGUCUCCACCUGAAGCACCAUACAUUCACUCUCAGGCUCUCGUUUUUUUUUUUUUGCAUCUCCUUUAUUUCUCUCUGGCUCCUCUUCUCCUUCAACCUUUCAGGAAUAAACGCUGUCAAGUGACGCUCGUGCUUAGCCCAGCUCUUAAUCAGCACUCAGCUCGCGGCUCCAUUCACUCACAGCGCCAUCACUUCAGUCUGGAAAGUCCCCUCAGCAAGAUCAAUGCGACCCUUUUUUUUUUCCAGAAGACCCUCGACCUGCUGCUGCUGCUGCUGCUGCUGCAAGAACCGAGCACACACACUGCAGGAUGGGCCUGCUGGGAGCGCGUGCGUGCAGAAUGCAAUUUCUUGCUUUACAGUGCGCAAUAAUGUGUGUAACCUGCGACUCCAUAAAUAUGUUGUGCAUGCAUCUUUUUUUCUUCACAGGUGCGUGCAUGUUUGCAUAAGCGCGUUCACGAGAUUGGUGUCCCAUUAAUGUGCAGUGGCGCCUGUGUGUGUGUGCAUACAAGGAGCAUAAAUACACAUCUAGUCUGCAUGGUGAGGCCUGUGCGUGCAUGUUUGCGCGCCUCAGAGAGAAGCACGGAGACAGACAGAGCAGGGCAGCAGCGCGCAUACUAAUCAUAUCUGUCUGUCAGUUUAAUUUUCAGAGAUGAGCAGUUCUGGCGUUUGGAAACAGCGGAGCGGUGCGCGGUGUGGGACCGCCGGCUUCCCGGAGCAGAUGCUGCCCUAUCGAUCCGCCCCGCGCGCAGCCAGCACGGAGGGAUGCGUGUAUGGAUGGCGAGUAGCUGGAGGUAAAAUGGUCAACAGCUACAGAGCGAAAAUAAAAGGUCCUUCUGGAAGGUCGGGGUGAAAGUUCACCUUCUGUGGCAGGAAAAUACGAGAAGAGAGGCUGACACCCGAGCUGCGAGGGCCCCAAACUUUUUACACUGGGAAGCUGACACCCCAUGGGGCGUCCGGGGUCCGGGUUUGUCAACACCGGGUCACACAGACACACUUAUAACUCAGCAACAAAAAAAUAUAAAUAUUAUUUUCAUGCGUAAAGAGAAGCCAUAGUGAGAGAAACUGUGAUCUAAAUAUACAACCCUGACGUUAAAGCGAUUGAUUUCUCUCUGCACAACAUGCUGCACAUACAUUAUGCCAGUAUAUCCAUUUGUGUUCCCAUCCAGAGUCACUCCCUCCUGCAGCAGGAUCAGCAACAUUACAGCCAAAACAUUUACAUUUCAGCCAUUUAGCUGAUGCUCUCAGAGGGACUUACAGUGAGGGCAGCUGCAGCAGGAGCAUCAAACCUUCCAUUACCCAUCCAGGGCCAUAAAUAUAACCGAGGAAUACUCGCAUUUUAGCCAUUUAGCCGCAGCUCCUUCAUCCAAAGUGACUUUCAAUAUGCUGCCUGUAGAAUAAGCUUUUAAUCUGCAGCCAAUACUGAGCGUGUUUAGAUUUUAACCGUUUUGCUUGCCUGCAUGAUGCAUCCAUCCUGAGGGACGUGUACGGGCCUACAUCAAAUCCUGCAUCGCCGAUAUUACAAGCAGCCAAUAGCGAGGGGGUCAAGGGUCAGGGGACAUCGGUGUGACAUUGAGAUGACCAUUCAUGUGCUGCUGCUGAGGGAUAAAUAGAAUCAGGCAGAAAUUCAAAGGGUGUGUUUUCAGCGAGAGAUGAAUCCACAGGGGGGAGAAACGUCUUCUCAGAGCGCAGAUGAGUUUCCAGGAGUGAUAUGUCAAGAUUCAUCAAUUCAUAUUUUAUUUAGAGAAAAUAAGCAAGAUAGGUGCGUGAUUGUUUUUCUGCAGCAGUGGAUCCCGAAAGGCCUGCAAACAUCCCCGAGCUGCAGCAGCAGCAGCAGCAGCAGCAGCAGCAGGAACGACGUGAUAGAGAGAAACAUCAGGCUGCAUUAUUCAUCCUGGACUUUACAGCGUUUUACGCCCCCCAAAACCUGCUGUUUAAUCAGCGAGUAAACGUGAUCACUUAUUGGUAAAUGAUAAUAAAUGGAGUGCACGUGCAGGGUUUGAAUGAGAUAUUGACCCCUCUGUAUGCAGCAGCGAAAAACAAUAAGAGAAUAAAAAGGGCGUAAAUGACGCUUUUUACGCAGCGUGCGUCAAAGAAGAGGAAUAUGGUGAAUAAAUUAAGAGGAUUUUAAUUUUUAUGGCUUUAACUCUGUGUUUGAGUGAAAAGUUAAUGAAUGUUUUUUUUCUGAAAUAAUUUUUUUAAGAUUUCCUGUCAUGUUAUAUCAAGUCAUGAGGACAGGGUUUGGUUAAUGGCGGUGAAUAAAUCCUUGUUCUCCAUCUAAUUUGGACAUAUUUAAUCACACACACCAUAAUAAUGCACCCUGCAUUUGGUGUGACAUCCACUUCACACUUUCUCUGCCUCAAAGUGUGUCAGUCAUGACCGCACACACGUCAAAACAAGACACAGAGAGUAGUACAAAAUAAUGCACAAAAAUAUAAGACCACACUUUAUUUUUCUAUUUUAUUUAUUGUCAAGUUUAUACACACAUAAAAACACAAAAAAGCAGUACAAUGUGGCACUUCCAGCUCUUAUUUUGAAAGGGAACAAAAGUUUACGCUUUUUAAACAUCGUGAUUAAUUUUCAGCUUUUGUGUCACUAAAACGACAAAAUAAACUGAAACCAGACUUAAGCAGGAAAAGUAAGAAUAUACAGUAAAACAAUUCACAAGGUGGGGAUCCUCCAUAUUAGCACGAGUGCAGAUAAAGGUGAUAAGGUAAACGGACGACUCCCAUCAAAGUUAAUGAUUUUUACAUAACAUGUACUAUCCCUGUUAUCACUGAGAGCCAUACUGCACCAAAAGUGUCCAAACUUGAGAGCAAUAAUAUCAUUUUAGUUUAAUUUGCACGUCAUAAAUAAAGACAAUAAAAGCUUAAAAAACGUGCAAAAGAGGUUUGAAGUCCCCAAAAGGUUGAAGAAGAUGUCCUAAAUGUCAAGAGUCAUGAAUAAUAAGCAGAAGAAGAGCAGUUAACUUUAUUAUCAGAUACAGGACUUUCUUAAUUGGGACUUUUUUAAUGUUUGUUGAAUGGGAGUGGACUAUGAAGUUUUCAGUUCCUCCAAAGACAUUGUCAUCUUGAUUUCAGUGUGUACUGAUAAAAAGUAAAUCCCAUAAAAUCUGUUUUAAUCUGAGGGUAUGAGGAAGGAAGUAAGACGAAAAUAAUCCCACUGACAGUAAUUUAAUGUUCAAUAUAUUCAAAUAAAAAAGAAACACCUGUCUGUUCACUGUUUACUUACUGGUGCAGGUAACACCACAAAGUGUGUAUUCCCAAAACACACACAUAUAUUCUGGCAGGUGCCUCUCCUGUCCUCGUGCUGAUAAAAAUAAUGCUAAUAAGUUUUUUUUAAUUAUUAUUUUUAUUGUUUGAGGAGUUUUCAGAGCCAACAAAACUGUUUUUCUAACUUUUUUUGGGGAGUCGAAAAGUGAAAAUGAAAUCCUGUUUAUCUUCUGUUUAUCCUCUCUUAUGUAAUAAAGUUGUCUGUGCCGUUUUUUACGGUGUGCUGUGUGUGUUCAAUUUUGCAUUUUGUUUUGUGGUAAAGGUGUGAAGCUGAACUCAAACUUUACUGUAAAGAUUUAAAAAUAAAAAAGUUAACCUGAUUCGUGCAUCUGUAGACGGAAAGUUCAACUCUUCGCGUAUUUUGAUCCAUGUGCGUAAUUUUGGCCACAGCUGCGUAAUUUUACUAUUACAGUAAAACAACUAAAAGUUACUGACACCAUAUAGAGCUGAAUGAAUCUGAGCUAGGAAAUCCGUCAUUUUAGCUUAAAUAUAACACACAUUUAUAAUAAAGUAUAUCAUAAACCUUCAAAAAUAUAUCCUAUCGCUCUUUAGUGCUGCCAUCUGUGAGCAUAAUCAGGCUGAUGUUUGAGUGUUUUACACUGUGGAGUCAAUGUAAGCUUAAAAUAAAUUUAAAAAACAAGAUAAAAUAUUGAAAAGACGUUUUUCGAUUCGAGAAAAAUAAAAAUAUAGGUUAGUGAAGGUUUUUAAAACAUUAUUGUGAAAUGAAAGACGCUGGUUUAAAGAGUUAUGUAAUUUUUAAUGUGACAUAAUGAAAUCGUGUUACUCUUGUGUUUCCCUCUUCCUUUUUUUUCCUCCUGUUGUCAUCUCCCUUUUUUAUUUCGCUCCCACCCUUAAACCAAUCGAUAAAAUCAAUUAUUACCACGAGACCUGGCGUUACACACAUCCCAAUGUGAAUAAUCGAUAACUGAAUUAAUUUGACCGGAUUAGAUCUGAAAGAGGAAGAAAAAAAAAGAUGAGCUAAAAAUAUAAUAACGGUGAUAAUCAGGGUGGAAAUGAUCAUCGAUGGAAAAAAACACCAAAUAUUGACUCCAAAGGUGAGUGACGCGAAUAUUUACCUGCAGCUGUAAAUGUUAAUAUUAAUAUUCAUAAUUAUAAUUUACCUUCAGAUUUAAGAUGUGGCCUCUUAUGACACAGAAAAAUAAAAAUAAACAGAUUUAAUGGAGCUUUUUAAAAAUAUAUAUGUAUUUCAGCACAGAGAACCUGCAGAGGUUCAUGUGCAUGAAGGCCUGCAGUGCAUGAACAGCGUGUGGCCUACUGCACAGACCUACACACUCUUAUUGAGGGUUAAAUAUAUGUAAUAAAAUACACUUUAUAUUAAUGUGUGCCUUUUCUUUUCUUCACAUUUAUAUUGUUGUAAAAAAUACAUUUAAAGACGCUUUUUUUCAUAUUUGAAUGUCUGCAUAAUAAAGAAAAAUGGGCCAGAGAUGAUAAAAAUAAGGUGCUGAGAUAAUUAUACAGAAAUUAAAAUGAUAUUUUCUGUUAAAUUAAAAUGAAUAGAUGGAGGUAAAUGAAAAAUAAAUACACACACACACUCAC